GGGUUGUGAGGUUAAGCGACUAAGCGUACACGGUGGAUGCCCUGGCAGUCAGAGGCGAUGAAGGACGUGCUAAUCUGCGAAAAGCGUCGGUAAGGUGAUAUGAACCGUUAUAACCGGCGAUGUCCGAAUGGGGAAACCCAGUGCAAUUCGUUGCACUAUCGUUAACUGAAUACAUAGGUUAACGAGGCGAACCGGGGGAACUGAAACAUCUAAGUACCCCGAGGAAAAGAAAUCAACCGAGAUUCCCCCAGUAGCGGCGAGCGAACGGGGAGCAGCCCAGAGUCUGAAUCAGCUUGUGUGUUAGUGGAACGGUCUGGAAAGUCCGACGGUACAGGGUGAUAGUCCCGUACACCAAAAUGCACAGGUUGUGAACUCGAAGAGUAGGGCGGGACACGUGGUAUCCUGUCUGAAUAUGGGGGGACCAUCCUCCAAGGCUAAAUACUCCUGACUGACCGAUAGUGAACCAGUACCGUGAGGGAAAGGCGAAAAGAACCCCGGCGAGGGGAGUGAAAAAGAACCUGAAACCGUGUACGUACAAGCAGUGGGAGCACCUUCGGGUGUGACUGCGUACCUUUUGUAUAAUGGGUCAGCGACUUAUAUUCUGUAGCAAGGUUAACCGUAUAGGGGAGCCGCAGGGAAACCGAGUCUUAACUGGGCGUUAAGUUGCAGGGUAUAGACCCGAAACCCGGUGAUCUAGCCAUGGGCAGGUUGAAGGUUGGGUAACACUAACUGGAGGACCGAACCGACUAAUGUUGAAAAAUUAGCGGAUGACUUGUGGCUGGGGGUGAAAGGCCAAUCAAACCGGGAGAUAGCUGGUUCUCCCCGAAAGCUAUUUAGGUAGCGCCUCGUGAAUUCAUCUUCGGGGGUAGAGCACUGUUUCGGCUAGGGGGUCAUCCCGACUUACCAACCCGAUGCAAACUACGAAUACCGAAGAAUGUUAUCACGGGAGACACACGGCGGGUGCUAACGUCCGUCGUGAAGAGGGAAACAACCCAGACCGCCAGCUAAGGUCCCAAAGUCAUGGUUAAGUGGGAAACGAUGUGGGAAGGCACAGACAGCCAGGAUGUUGGCUUAGAAGCAGCCAUCAUUUAAAGAAAGCGUAAUAGCUCACUGGUCGAGUCGGCCUGCGCGGAAGAUGUAACGGGGCUAAACCAUGCACCGAAGCUGCGGCAGCGACACUAUGUGUUGUUGGGUAGGGGAGCGUUCUGUAAGCCUGCGAAGGUGUGCUGUGAGGCAUGCUGGAGGUAUCAGAAGUGCGAAUGCUGACAUAAGUAACGAUAAAGCGGGUGAAAAGCCCGCUCGCCGGAAGACCAAGGGUUCCUGUCCAACGUUAAUCGGGGCAGGGUGAGUCGACCCCUAAGGCGAGGCCGAAAGGCGUAGUCGAUGGGAAACAGGUUAAUAUUCCUGUACUUGGUGUUACUGCGAAGGGGGGACGGAGAAGGCUAUGUUAGCCGGGCGACGGUUGUCCCGGUUUAAGCAUGUAGGCUG
rnacentral:rRNA from 2 species